GGCCCUCCCUCGCACCGAGGCCGCGGCGGGGCGGGCCGAGUGAGCCGGGCUGCAGCGGCUCCUCCUCCUGCCUCUCCCCGGCACCGCCCUGCAGCGCCGGCGAGCACCUGGGACGGGCGGCGGUGGCAGCGGCUCCACAGGACCCUCGAUCUUUGCAAUGAGUUACCCGGGCUAUCCCCCAGCGGGUGGAUACCCACCAGCUGCCCCAGGUAGCAGUCCUUGGGGUGGUGCUGCCUAUCCACCUUCAAAUCCACCUCCAAUUGGUCUGGAAAAUGUGGCUGGCUAUGCCAACCAGUUCAAUCCCAGCCACAUGGCUGGAAUGGCAUCCAACCUGGCAGGGACCUUUGGAGGGACAAAUUUACCACAAAGCAUGUAUCCUUCCACACCUGGGGGUUAUCCACCAGUUCCUCCAGGUGGCUUUGGGCAACCCCCACCAGGACAACAGCCCUCUUACGGAGGGUACGCUCCACCUGGAGGAAAUCCCCCAUCCGGAAUGCCAUCCUACCCAGGGUACGCGGGCGGCCCUGUGCCAGGCCAGCCCAUGCCACCGCCUGGUCAGCAGCCUAUGGGCUAUCCAGGACUUCCAGCAACUCACCCAGGGCAGCAGCCCAUGUCAAGUUAUCCAGCAGGUCCAGCUGUGAACCCGUCUAUGCCCUCUUACUCAGGAACUACAGGGCCUGCAGUCACUCCUGGAACACACAGAAACCGAGGUACAAUCACUGAUGCACCGGGCUUUGACCCUCUGAAGGAUGCAGAAGUCUUAAGGAAGGCCAUGAAAGGAUUUGGAACCGAUGAGCAGGCGAUCAUCGAUUGUCUUGGAAGUCGUUCAAACAAGCAAAGGCAGCAGAUAAUCCUGUCCUUUAAAACAGCUUAUGGAAAGGAUUUGAUCAAGGAUCUCAAGUCUGAGCUCUCAGGUAACUUUGAGAGGACAAUCUUGGCAAUGAUGAAGACACCUGUCAUGUUUGAUGCUUAUGAAAUCAAGGAAGCUAUAAAGGGUGUUGGCACAGAUGAAAAUUGUCUCAUUGAAAUCUUAGCUUCCCGCAGUAAUGAGCAUAUUCAGGAACUCAACAGGGUCUAUAAAGCAGAAUAUAAAAAAACUCUGGAGGAAGCAAUAAAAAGUGACACGUCUGGACACUUUCAGAGGCUUUUAAUUUCACUUGCUCAGGGAAACAGAGAUGAAAGUACAAAUGUUGACAUGUCUGUUGUCCAAAGAGAUGUACAGGAGUUGUAUGCAGCUGGAGAGAACCGUCUAGGAACUGAUGAAUCCAAAUUCAAUGCCAUUCUGUGUGCAAGAAGCAGGGCUCACCUUAGAGCAGUCUUCAGCGAGUACCAGAGGAUGUGUAACCGGGACAUCGAAAGCAGCAUAUGCCGUGAGAUGUCUGGAGACCUGGAGAUGGGCAUGCUGGCAGUAGUUAAGUGUCUCAAGAACACACCAGCUUUUUUUGCAGAGAGAUUACACAAAGCAAUGAAGGGAGCAGGAACAAAGGACAGGACGCUGAUCCGGAUCAUGGUAUCGCGCAGCGAGGUUGACCUGCUGGACAUACGUGCAGAGUACAAGCGGAUGUAUGGCAGAUCCCUCUACACAGAUAUCACUGGUGAUACUUCAGGAGACUACCGGAAAAUCCUACUCAAGUUGUGUGGUGGAAAUGACUAAAUGGAGCAUUGAGCUUUUCUUAAAAAAGCUGCUCUUUUCAUGUACUUGCUGCAAAGCAUCUUUUGUCUCCAUAAGUAAAUAUGUAAUGAGUUUCUUCUAAAGCAAUUGCAUUUAAAAUAUAAUACUGCAUAUAUCUUCAGUUCAAAGGUAGUAGGUAAUAAAUGCCAAGCCCCCCAAAACACCAAGCAUAUGUGCCAUCUGCUCAGGAUUCUGUAUAGUACCCUCAGCAAUCCAUGAAUGGUCAUUAUUUCUUUUCUGCUUAUAUCAUGUUGAAAUAAUGUUUGUUUAAUGAAACAAAAAUCACCGUUGUAUGAUUUUGUAUAAACAUUGAGUGUCAUUUUAAUGCAAGUUUUAGAUCUGUUGUAUGCAGAGUUGGCUUUGGGCUAGCCCACUUCCUGAUAUGUGGAGACAGCAGCCUUGAGGUUUUGUGUCUAGUUAAGACUGCUUUAAAGAAGUUUUGUCAAGUUCUGUUUUUUUACCUUGAUUCUUGCUAAGGCAGACUGUCAGAAGGCAGGAGUAAUGUUGACAGUAGUAAAGAUUCUGUCAUUAAUGUUAAAAGGUUUUGGAUUGUGCCUUAAAUAUAUAUAUAUAUAUAUAUAUAUGUAACAAGAGUUUAUGAAAUUAAAGCUACGUCUUUGCAGACUGUGCCUUUUGGUGUUCAUAUUGAUGUACGUGAGUGAUAACUCAGUUUAUGUAACUUAGUUUUUCUAUAGAAGUUCUCUUCCACAGGAUUAUUCAGAAAUUGUUGUUUUGAUUAGAGUUUGGAAGUUGUGUGCUGUUGAUAAGCAAUUGUCUGUACAUGAGACAUGUAAUCUGUAGUUAUUCCUCAGUACUUUCAUUUUGCAUGUUGUAAUUUGUCUUACUCUUGGAACUCUGAGUUUUUAUUCCCUGCUGGCAUGGAUGAUGUCUCUUCAGCCUGUUGUUCUCAAAUAAAAGCAUGUAAAGGUAAAAAGUACAAA